GGAGAGAUGGCCGAGUGGACGAAGGCGCUUGACUCGAAAUCAAGUGACCCGGUGACGGGUCCGGGGGUUCGAAUCCCUCUCUCUCCGCCA
rnacentral:tRNA from 1 species